UGCCAGCAGCCGCGGUAAUACGGAGGGUGCAAGCGUUAAUCGGAAUUACUGGGCGUAAAGCGCGCGUAGGUUGAUUGGUCAGUCAGAUGUGAAAGCCCCGGGCUCAACCUGGGAACUGCGUUUGAAACUACAAGGCUAGAGUGUGGCAGAGGGGGGUGGAAUUCCGCGUGUAGCAGUGAAACGCGUAGAGAUGUGGAGGAACACCGAUGGCGAAGGCAGCCCCCUGGGUCAACACUGACGCUCAGGCACGAAAGCAUGGGGAGCAAACAGGAUUAGAUA
rnacentral:rRNA from 1 species